rnacentral:rRNA from 1 species
AUUGAACGCUGGCGGCAGGCCUAACACAUGCAAGUCGAGCGGAUGAGAGGGGCUUGCUUCUCGAUUCAGCGGCGGACGGGUGAGUAAUGCCUAGGAAUCUGCCUGGUAGUGGGGGACAACGUUUCGAAAGGAACGCUAAUACCGCAUACGUCCUACGAGAGAAAGCAGGGGACCUUCGGGCCUUCCGCUAUCAGAUGAGCCUGGGUCGGAUUAGCUAGUUGGUGAGGUAAUGGCUCACCAGGGCGACGAUCCGUAACUGGUCUGAGAGGAUGAUCAGUCACACUGGAACUGAGACACGGUCCAGACUCCUACGGGAGGCAGCAGUGGGGAAUAUUGGACAAUGGGCGAAAGCCUGAUCCAGCCAUGCCGCGUGUGUGAAGAAGGUCUUCGGAUUGUAAAGCACUUUAAGUUGGGAGGAAGGGUUGUAGAUUAAUACUCUGCAAUUUUGACGUUACCGACAGAAUAAGCACCGGCUAACUCUGUGCCAGCAGCCGCAGUAAGAC